CGGAACACCUCUGAUGAGUAUAAUAGUUAAGUGCAUCCGAAGUUUUCCAGCUAUUUGACGUUAUGGCGCCAAAAUCUCAUGCAUUGAUCGAGUGAAUGACGUCAUAACGGGUGUAAAGGCUUUAUAUACGAGCUCCCAGCGUCUAACGGUCAGACGCCUGCGGUCUCACCCACGAAAAGGUCUACCUGACGGACCAACUCCGAACAAGGCAGUCUCCCCAUCACAAAGGGUUCUGUUUUAGACAGAGAGACAAAUUGACAUGAUGGGUGAGGACCGCAGAGCCAAAGAAGAGUAUUUUUGUAUGUUUAUUGAAUAAAAUCUAAUAAAAUAUUAAAAACAAA